ACAGGAAUGGUGUAAGGGCUAGCAUGGAGGCUUCCCAUGCUUCCGAUCCGGGUUCGAGUCCCGGUUCCUGUA
rnacentral:tRNA from 2 species